GAGGGUAUCGCUCAGUAGUAGAGCACAUGCUUAGUGUGCACGAGGUCCUGGGUUCAAUCCCCAGUACCUCCA
rnacentral:tRNA from 1 species